rnacentral:rRNA from 1 species
GAGAAGCUUAUUGAACACGUAUUUCUGAGUCUGGACGACAACAUGGCUGAUUCGAAUUACAUGACAUGUCGAGCAAUACUUUCCACAACAAAUGACAAUGUAGACAAGAUAAACAUCCGCAUGAUAGAGCGUUUUCAUGGAGAUGAAGUGGUCUAUCAUAGCUUUGACAGUGCGGAGGAUGACCCAUAUGGCUACUAUGCUCAGGAGUUUUUGAAUGGAUUGACUCCUAAUGGUCUUCCUCCGCAUGCUCUCAAGCUAAAGCUGAACUGCCCUGUCAUACUUCUACGGAACAUUGAUCCAGCUAAUGGACUGUGUAAUUGCACUAGGCUUGUUGUUAGAGGU